rnacentral:rRNA from 1 species
UGGGGAAUAUUGCGCAAUGGGGGGAACCCUGACGCAGCCAUGCCGCGUGAAUGAAGAAGGCCUUAGGGUUGUAAAGUUCUUUCGGUAUGGAGGAAGGUUGAUGUGUUAAUAGCACAUCAAAUUGACGUUAAAUACAGAAGAAGCACCGGCUAACUCCGUGCCAGCAGCCGCGGUAAUACGGAGGGUGCGAGCGUUAAUCGGAAUAACUGGGCGUAAAGGGCACGCAGGCGGUUAUUUAAGUGAGGUGUGAAAGCCCCGGGCUUAACCUGGGAAUUGCAUUUCAGACUGGGUAACUAGAGUACUUUAGGGAGGGGUAGAAUUCCACGUGUAGCGGUGAAAUGCGUAGAGAUGUGGAGGAAUACCGAAGGCGAAGGCAGCCCCUUGGGAAUGUACUGACGCUCAUGUGCGAAAGCGUGGGGAGCGAACAGGAUUAGAUACCCUGGUAGUCCACGCUGUAAACGCUGUCGAUUUGGGGGUUGGGGUUUAACUCUGGCGCCCGUAGCUAACGUGAUAAAUCGACCGCCUGGGGAGUACGGCCGCAAGGUU